rnacentral:rRNA from 1 species
ACAAAGAUUUGGUCCUGGUCUUAUUGUCAGUUAUCUCUUGAUUUACACAUGCAAGUCUCAGCACUCCAGUGAGGACGCCCUUUCCCCUCCCAUAGGACAAGGAGCUGAUAUCAGGCACAUCUACUGCCCAUGACAUCUAGUUCGACCACACCCCCAAGGGUAUUCAGCAGUGAUAGAUAUUGUUUAUAAGCGACAGCUUGACACAGUCAAAGAGAAGAGGGCCGGCUAACCCGGUGCCAGCCGCCGCGGCUAAACCCUAGGGCCCAAAUUGAUAAAACUCGGCGUAAAUCGUGAUUAAAGUCUACUAAAAUUAGAGUGGAACCUACUACUAAGCUGUGAAAAGCAACUCUUUUAGGGAAAAUCAGAAACGAAAGUUACUCUAAUGCACACUUGAACACACGACAACUG